rnacentral:rRNA from 1 species
AACGAACGCUGGCGGCGUGCCUAACACAUGCAAGUCGGACGAGAAAGUUCCUUUCGGGGAACGAGUACAGUGGCGCACGGGUGAGUAACACGUUGACAACCUGCCUUCCAGUCCGGGACAACCCCGCGAAAGACGAGGCUAAUACCGGAUAAUAAGCCGGGCCGCAUGGCUUGGUUUUGUAAAGAACUUGUCGCUGGAAGAGGGGUCGUGCGGGACAUUAGCUAGUUGGCGGGGUAACGGCCCACCAAGGCUAUGAUGUCUAGCGGGUCGUGAGAGGAUGAUCCGCCACACUGGAACUGAGACACGGUCCA